GGGGAUUUAGCUCAGUGGUAGAGUGCUUGCCUAACAAGCACAAGACCCUGGGUUCGGUCCCCAGCUCUG
rnacentral:tRNA from 1 species